AAAACUACUUACUAGAUCUCGUUCAAACCAAUUUUCGGUGGAAGUUUACAUGGUAAUGUACAUCAUAUAUUUUUUUUAGUUUUAUCAUUCUCUUAUUUUAGAAGUUACAGGGGGGGGGACACAUUUUACCACUUUGGAAGUGUCUCUCGCGCAAACUAUUCAGUUUAGAAAAAAAUGAUAUUAGAAACCUCAAUAUCAUUUUUGAAGACCUAUCCAUAGAUACCCACACGUAUGGGUUUGAUGAAAAAAAAAUUUUUGAGCGAUUUAUGACGUAUAAAAAAAAACUACUUACUAGAUCUCGUUCAAACCAAUUUUCGGUGGAAGUUUACAUGGUAAUGUAUAUCAUAUAUUUUUUUUAGUUUUAUCAUUCUCUUAUUUUAGAAGUUACAGGGGGGGGGGGG